AGUGAACGCUGGCGGUAGGCCUAACACAUGCAAGUCGAACGGCAGCACAGGAGAGCUUGCUCUCUGGGUGGCGAGUGGCGGACGGGUGAGGAAUACAUCGGAAUCUACUUUUUCGUGGGGGAUAACGUAGGGAAACUUACGCUAAUACCGCAUACGACCUACGGGUGAAAGCAGGGGACCUUCGGGCCUUGCGCGAUUGAAUGAGCCGAUGUCGGAUUAGCUAGUGGGCGGGGUAAGUCCCACCAAGGCGACGAUCCGUAGCUGGUCUGAGAGGAUGAUCAGCCACACUGGAACUGUGACACGGUCCAGACUCCUACGGGAGGCAGCAGUGGGGAAUAUUGGACAAUGGGCGCAAGCCUGAUCCAGCCAUACCGCGUGGGUGAAGAAGGCCUUCGGGUUGUAAAGCCCUUUUGUUGGGAAAGAAAUCCAGCUGGCUAAUACCCGGUUGGGAUGACGGUACCCAAAGAAUAAGCACCGGCUAACUACGUGCCAGCCGCCGCAGUAA
rnacentral:rRNA from 1 species